UAACGAAUAUUCCGCAAUGCGCGAAAGCGUGACGGAGCGAUGCCGCGUGCAGGAUGAAGCCCCUCGGGGUGUAAACUGCUGUCAGGGUUCAGCAACACAAUGAGCAGACCCAGAGGAAGAGACGGCUAACUCUGUGCCAGCAGCCGCGGUAAUACAGAGGUCUCGAGCGUUAAUCGGAGUCACUGGGCUUAAAGGGUGCGUAGGCGGGCCCGCAAGUGCUUUGUGAAAUCCCAUGGCUUAACCAUGGAACGGCUUGGCAGACUGCGGACCUUGAGGUCGGUAGAGGCUGCUGGAACUCUAGGUGGAGCGGUGAAAUGCGUAGAUAUCUAGAGGAACGCCGAUGGUGAAGACAGGCAGCUGGGCCGAUUCUGACGCUGAGGCACGAAAGCGUGGGGAGCGAACGGGAUUAGAUACCCCCGUAGUCC
rnacentral:rRNA from 1 species